rnacentral:rRNA from 1 species
GACAGAGGUGCCGAGCGUUAGGCGGAAUCACUGGGCUUAAAAGCGUGUGUAGGCGGGCGGGCAAGUACCUUGUGAAAUCCCACGGCUCAACCGUGGAACGGCUGGGUAUACUGCCUGUCUUGAGCCAACUAGGGGCGAGCGGAACAGACGGUGGAGCGGUGAAAUGCGUAGAUAUCGUCUGGAACGCCAAAGGUGAAAACAACUCGCUGGGGAAGUGCUGACGCUGAGACACGAAAGCCAGGGGAGCGAACGGG